AAAAAUUUAGUUAAAUUAAUAACGUUAGCUUGUCAAGCUAAAAUUAUUCUUUAAAGAAUAAUUUUUA
rnacentral:tRNA from 1 species